GGGUUGUGAGGUUAAGCGACUAAGCGUACACGGUGGAUGCCCUGGCAGUCAGAGGCGAUGAAGGACGUGCUAAUCUGCGAUAAGCGUCGGUAAGGUGAUAUGAACCGUUAUAACCGGCGAUUUCCGAAUGGGGAAACCCAGUGUGAUUCGUCACACUAUCAUUAACUGAAUCCAUAGGUUAAUGAGGCGAACCGGGGGAACUGAAACAUCUAAGUACCCCGAGGAAAAGAAAUCAACCGAGAUUCCCCCAGUAGCGGCGAGCGAACGGGGAGCAGCCCAGAGCCUGAAUCAGUGUGUGUGUUAGUGGAAGCGUCUGGAAAGGCGUGCGAUACAGGGUGACAGCCCCGUACACAAAAAUGCACAUACUGUGAGCUCGAUGAGUAGGGCGGGACACGUGGUAUCCUGUCUGAAUAUGGGGGGACCAUCCUCCAAGGCUAAAUACUCCUGACUGACCGAUAGUGAACCAGUACCGUGAGGGAAAGGCGAAAAGAACCCCGGCGAGGGGAGUGAAAAAGAACCUGAAACCGUGUACGUACAAGCAGUGGGAGCACGCUUAGGCGUGUGACUGCGUACCUUUUGUAUAAUGGGUCAGCGACUUAUAUUCUGUAGCAAGGUUAACCGAAUAGGGGAGCCGAAGGGAAACCGAGUCUUAACUGGGCGUUAAGUUGCAGGGUAUAGACCCGAAACCCGGUGAUCUAGCCAUGGGCAGGUUGAAGGUUGGGUAACACUAACUGGAGGACCGAACCGACUAAUGUUGAAAAAUUAGCGGAUGACUUGUGGCUGGGGGUGAAAGGCCAAUCAAACCGGGAGAUAGCUGGUUCUCCCCGAAAGCUAUUUAGGUAGCGCCUCGUGAAUUCAUCUCCGGGGGUAGAGCACUGUUUCGGCAAGGGGGUCAUCCCGACUUACCAACCCGAUGCAAACUGCGAAUACCGGAGAAUGUUAUCACGGGAGACACACGGCGGGUGCUAACGUCCGUCGUGAAGAGGGAAACAACCCAGACCGCCAGCUAAGGUCCCAAAGUCAUGGUUAAGUGGGAAACGAUGUGGGAAGGCCCAGACAGCCAGGAUGUUGGCUUAGAAGCAGCCAUCAUUUAAAGAAAGCGUAAUAGCUCACUGGUCGAGUCGGCCUGCGCGGAAGAUGUAACGGGGCUAAACCAUGCACCGAAGCUGCGGCAGCGACGCUUAUGCGUUGUUGGGUAGGGGAGCGUUCUGUAAGCCUGUGAAGGUGUGCUGUGAGGUAUGCUGGAGGUAUCAGAAGUGCGAAUGCUGACAUAAGUAACGAUAAAGCGGGUGAAAAGCCCGCUCGCCGGAAGACCAAGGGUUCCUGUCCAACGUUAAUCGGGGCAGGGUGAGUCGACCCCUAAGGCGAGGCCGAAAGGCGUAGUCGAUGGGAAACAGGUUAAUAUUCCUGUACUUGGUGUUACUGCGAAGGGGGGACGGAGAAGGCUAUGUUGGCCGGGCGACGGUUGUCCCGGUUUAAGCGUGUAGGCUGGUUUUCCAGGCAAAUCCGGAAAAUCAAGGCCGAGGCGUGAUGACGAGGCACUACGGUGCUGAAGCAACAAAUGCCCUGCUUCCAGGAAAAGCCUCUAAGCAUCAGGUAACAUCAAAUCGUACCCCAAACCGACACAGGUGGUCAGGUAGAGAAUACCAAGGCGCUUGAGAGAACUCGGGUGAAGGAACUAGGCAAAAUGGUGCCGUAACUUCGGGAGAAGGCACGCUGAUACGUAGGUGAAGCGACUUGCUCGUGGAGCUGAAAUCAGUCGAAGAUACCAGCUGGCUGCAACUGUUUAUUAAAAACACAGCACUGUGCAAACACGAAAGUGGACGUAUACGGUGUGACGCCUGCCCGGUGCCGGAAGGUUAAUUGAUGGGGUUAGCGCAAGCGAAGCUCUUGAUCGAAGCCCCGGUAAACGGCGGCCGUAACUAUAACGGUCCUAAGGUAGCGAAAUUCCUUGUCGGGUAAGUUCCGACCUGCACGAAUGGCGUAAUGAUGGCCAGGCUGUCUCCACCCGAGACUCAGUGAAAUUGAACUCGCUGUGAAGAUGCAGUGUACCCGCGGCAAGACGGAAAGACCCCGUGAACCUUUACUAUAGCUUGACACUGAACAUUGAGCCUUGAUGUGUAGGAUAGGUGGGAGGCUUUGAAGUGUGGACGCCAGUCUGCAUGGAGCCGACCUUGAAAUACCACCCUUUAAUGUUUGAUGUUCUAACGUGGACCCGUAAUCCGGGUUGCGGACAGUGUCUGGUGGGUAGUUUGACUGGGGCGGUCUCCUCCUAAAGAGUAACGGAGGAGCACGAAGGUUGGCUAAUCCUGGUCGGACAUCAGGAGGUUAGUGCAAUGGCAUAAGCCAGCUUGACUGCGAGCGUGACGGCGCGAGCAGGUGCGAAAGCAGGUCAUAGUGAU
rnacentral:rRNA from 1 species